rfam:Staphylococcus sp. HMSC078E07 Staphylococcus_spHMPREF2905-1.0_Cont9.1, whole genome shotgun sequence.
GUAUUCUUUCGGGGCAGGGUGUAAUUCCCAACCGGCAGUAAUUAAGCCUGCGACCCACUUAAUCUUAAUUUAUUAAGUGGCUGAUCUAGUGAGACUCUAGAGCCGACAGUAAAAGUCUGGAUGGGAGAAAGAAUCA